GAGCCGUUAGCUCAGUCGGUAGAGCAACUGCCUUUUAAGCAGUGGGUCGCUGGUUCGAUUCCAGCACGGCUCA
rnacentral:tRNA from 1 species